rnacentral:sRNA from 1 species
GGCAGUUUCAUCAAUAAAAUGGAGAUGUUCACAUCUAGCCCAUGGAGCUGUUUUAAGGGUUUAAGUGAAAUAUAAAUAACUUAGCACAAUAAAUGAGCAUUGUUAUUAUUCUUAUUAUUGUUCUUGUCCAGUACCUGUAUUUACUGUCUCCUUAGUCUAGUUAAAAUCAUACUUUGGCCAUUUGUCCUUUCUAUAGUUGAAAAGUUAAUAUUUUUGUAGCAGGGGUUAGGCCAAUUAUGUAAAGUAGCAUAUAAACAUGGUAAGAUUUCAAAGAUGUUACUUUCUUUUCAGAAUAUCUAUUCCCUAGGACAUUGUAGCUAUGUUUUCCUUCCUUUCGUAGCAAUUGGGGCACUGAAGAAGAUGAGACCCAGAGUUACCACAAUGGCAAUUCAGACCCUCGAGGAUUUGGUCAUAUUGGAAUUGCUGUUCCUGAUGUAUACAGUGCUUGUAAAAGGUUUGAAGAACUGGGAGUCAAAUUUGUGAAGAAACCUGAUGAUGGUAAAAUGAAAGGCCUGGCAUUUAUUCAAGAUCCUGAUGGCUACUGGAUUGAAAUUUUGAAUCCUAACAAAAUGGCAACUUUAAUGUAGUGCUGUGAGAAUUCUCCUUUGAGAUUUUAGAAGGAAGGAAACAAUGUGAUUCAAGAUAUUUACAUACCAGAAGCGUCUAGGACUGAUGGAUCACUGUCCCGAUUCAAAUUCUUCUUCAGUCCAUUUCCCCUUCCUAUUUCAGCUGUUCCUUUUCACCUAACUGUUCAGUCAUUCUGGUUUUCAAGUAGUGCUUUAUCUUAUGUCCUUGAAUACAGUUGUAUAACUUUAUUUUUUAGGUAAUAAUUAGAACAGUUCCCUUCAGAGGCUGCAUUUGUCUUCUUCUGCCUCCUAAAUAUUACUUCUCUUCAAAUCUGCCUUUGAAUCAUCAUUUAAAAAAAAAUUAACAUGUUUUUGUUGUGGUUAUCUUCUGGGGUUUCAAUUCCUCAGAAACAACUUUGUUCACAAUGGAAAGUAAAGAACACUGAAACAGUGUUCUUUCAGUAAAGUACAAAGUGUUUAUUUUACAAAAGAGAAGGUACUCUUGAGAGCAAUUCAAAAUCAUGCUGACAAGGAUACUGAUAGAAAAAGUAAUUUCUUCUUAUUAUAAAGUACAUUUAAAGUUCAAGGACUAACCUUAUUUAUUUGGGAAAGGGGAGGAGGAAGGAAAUGAUAUGGUACCCAGACACUGGGCUAGGCUGCAACUUUAUCUCAUUUAAUACUCCCAGCUAUCGUGUGAGAAAGAAAGCAGGCUAGGCAUGUGAAAUCACUUUCAUGGAUUAUUAAUGGAUUUAAGAGGGCAUAAAUCAGCUCAACUCAAGAUUUCAUAAUCACUUUUAGUAUUUAGAUUGUGCCUCAAAGUUGUAGUACCUCACAAUACCUCCUCCACUGGUUUCUUGUUGUAAAAACCUUCAGUGAGUUUGACCAUUGUGCUCUUGGCUCUUGGGCCUGAGUACUGUGGUGAGGGAGUAAACACUAGAAGUCUUUAGUACAAAACUGCUCUAGGGACACCUGGUGUUUAUAUUUCUCAUAAAGACAAGUGGUGUUUAUAUUUCUCAUAAAGAGUCUUCCCUACCCCAAGGUAUUCAUGAUGCCAGUAGCCAUAUAUGAUAAAUUAUGUUCACAGUGGUAACUUAGUUAUCAGAAAUUAGCUCAGUGGUCUUCCCUGCCAUGAGUCACGUUUGAUGGGUUUUUAAAAAUCAAAGUGAUUUUGAAAAUCUCUAAUGGCUCAGAAAAUAAAAACAUCCAGUUUGUGGAUGACUAUAUUUAGAUUUUCUCUAGACUCUAGUGGAAAACCUUUGGAAAGGCCAUGCCAACCGUGCUUGUACUGCUGGAAGCACUUUACGUUUCCUUUUUGGGUGAAAUGGAUUUAUGUGAGUGCUUUAAACAAAUAGCAAUAGUUAUAGACUGAAAUAAAAAGAAACUUCAAAUAAGA